rnacentral:lncRNA from 1 species
ACCGUUCUGACUAACGGCUCAUUUCACGCGGAAUGGCGCGCCUGCCACGCCGUCCCCGCCCGCUCACUUUUGCUAUCAUUCACAAGUGUGCAGGUGGCGACGCAUGCGCAGAGGGCGGCGGGUCAGCAGGUCAUGGGGUGGGGCCCUGAUGGCUCCGCCCCUCUCGCGGGGCGUGGCCACCACACACGAGCGGCCAAUAACAGCGCUCCCCAAGUACACGUUCCGCCAAUGGCGAUAUUCUUCGUCUAACAAGAGCACAUGGCAAAAAUAAUGCAUUUCACAACAAAAGAUAUGAAGAUUGCGGGCGCACAGAUGACAGUGCGUCCCCCCGCCCUUGUAGUUUACCAGGCCCCUUCGGAGCGGCGUCGGACGCGGGGGCCACGGCCUGCGGGGACCCCGGAACCCUCCUGAGCGGCCAGCCAGCUCUCAGUUCCUGGCUGCGACUUCCUGCAGCCGCCUCGCUACAAAGCUGCACACCUGCAUCCAAAGGUAAGCAGCCGUGACGAGGCUGCUGUGCCUGUGAUGGUCGCUGCGAUCAGCUGUGACGAGGAACAGCGGCUCAUCUGCGGCGAUCGGAAGUCGAGAGAUAUGAUUUGCAAAAGUCUUUUCUUCUAGCAACAUACAGGUUCCGCCGAACUUCCCGGCCGAAGAAAGGAAGCAGGAUUUUGGGAUCUCGCCGCCUUCGUCCUCGAGGAAGGAGAGUUUCGGGUGGCUGACCGAGACGCGCCAGGAAAUGCCAUCUUCAAGGAUAUUCCCGAAGACUGUACCACCUUUAAGAUGACUGACUUGAGAUGAAUGCUUAGCACGAUACUGGUGUCUUCUUUUUUUU